rnacentral:rRNA from 1 species
UGGGGAAUAUUGCACAAUGGGCGCAAGCCUGAUGCAGCCAUGCCGCGUGUAUGAAGAAGGCCUUCGGGUUGUAAAGUACUUUCAGCGGGGAGGAGGGCGAUAAGGUUAAUAACCUUGUCGAUUGACGUUACCCGCAGAAGAAGCACCGGCUAACUCCGUGCCAGCAGCCGCGGUAAUACGGAGGGUGCAAGCGUUAAUCGGAAUUACUGGGCGUAAAGCGCACGCAGGCGGUCUGUCAAGUCGGAUGUGAAAUCCCCGGGCUCAACCUGGGAACUGCAUUCGAAACUGGCAGGCUGGAGUCUUGUAGAGGGGGGUAGAAUUCCAGGUGUAGCGGUGAAAUGCGUAGAGAUCUGGAGGAAUAUCGGUGGCGAAGGCGGCCCCCUGGACAAAGACGGACGCACAGGUGCGAAAGCGUGGGGAGCAAAACAGGAUUAGAUACCCUGGUAGUCCACGCUGUAAACGAUGUCGACUUGGAGGUUGUUCCCUUGAGGAGUGGCUUCCGGAGCUAACGCGUUAAGUCGACCGCCUGGGGAGUACGGCCGCAAGGUUAAAAC